GAUGAAGAACGUAGCGAAAUGCGAUAAGUAGUGUGAAUUGCAGAAUUCAGUGAAUCAUCGAAUCUUUGAACGCACAUUGCGCCCUUUGGUAUUCCAAAGGGCAUGCCUGUUCGAGCGUCAUUUGUACCCUCAAGCUUUGCUUGGUGUUGGCGUCUUGUCUCUAGCUUUGCUGGAGACUCGCCUUAAAGUAAUUGGCAGCCGGCCUACUGGUUUCGGAGCGCAGCACAAGUCGCACUCUCUAUCAGCAAAGGUCUAGCAUCCAUUAAGCCUUUUUUUCAACUUUUGACCUCGGAUCAGGUAGGGAUACCCGCUGCACUUAAGCAUAUCAAUAAGCGGAGGA
rnacentral:misc_RNA from 1 species